AUGAACUUGGAAAAGCCUGAUUUCAUCAAUGUUUGUCAGUGCUUAAUUUUCUUAGAUGAUCCUCAGGCUGUGAGUGAUAUUUUAGAAAAACUGGUAAAGGAGGACAACCUGCUGAUGGCCUAUCAGAUUUGUUUUGAUUUGUACGAAAGUGCUAGCCAGCAGUUUUUGUCAUCUGUCAUCCAGAAUCUUUGAACUGUUGGUACCCCUAUUGCUUCUGUGCCUGGAUCUACCAAUACAGGGACUGUGCCAGGAUCAGAGAAAGACAGUGACCCCAUGGAGACGGAGGAGAAGACAGCCAGUGCAGUGGCCGGGAAGACACCAGAUGCGAGUCCAGAGCCCAAGGACCAGACAUUGAAAAUGAUUAAGAUUUUAAGUGGUGAAAUGGCUAUUGAAUUACACCUGCAGUUCCUAAUACGAAAUAAUAACACAGACCUCAUGAUUCUAAAAAACACAAAGGAUGCAGUACGAAAUUCUGUAUGUCAUACAGCAACUGUAAUAGCAAACUCAUUCAUGCACUGUGGUACUACCAGUGACCAGUUUCUUAGAGAUAACUUGGAAUGGUUGGCCAGAGCCACCAACUGGGCCAAAUUUACUGCAACUGCCAGCUUGGGUGUAAUCCAUAAGGGCCAUGAGAAGGAAGCACUACAGUUAAUGGCAACAUACCUUCCUAAGGACACUUCUCCAGGAUCAGCCUAUCAGGUAGGGGGCAGUCUCUAUGCAUUGGGUCUCAUUCAUGCCAAUCAUGGUGGUGACAUAAUUGACUAUCUCCUUAAUCAGCUCAAGAAUGCCAGCAAUGAUAUUGUUCGACAUGGAGGCAGCCUGGGCCUUGGUUUGGCUGCAAUGGGAACUGCACGUCAGGAUGUGUAUGAUUUGCUGAAAACAAACCUGUAUCAGGAUGAUGCUGUGACAGGGGAGGCAGCUGGCCUAGCCUUAGGUUUGGUUAUGUUAGGUUCUAAAAAUGCCCAAGCGAUUGAGGAUAUGGUUGGCUAUGCACAAGAGACUCAGCACGAGAAGAUUCUGCGCGGUCUGGCAGUUGGCAUUGCAUUAGUGAUGUACGGGAGGAUGGAGGAGGCUGAUGCUCUCAUUGAGUCUCUCUGUCGUGACAAGGACCCAAUUCUUAGAAGAUCUGGAAUGUAUACUGUAGCCAUGGCUUAUUGUGGCUCUGGUAACAACAAAGCCAUUCGGCGCCUGCUGCAUGUUGCUGUAAGUGAUGUCAACGAUGAUGUCAGAAGAGCAGCAGUGGAGUCACUUGGCUUCAUUUUGUUCAGGACGCCUGAACAGUGUCCAAGUGUGGUUUCUUUGUUGUCAGAGAGUUAUAACCCUCACGUGCGCUAUGGAGCUGCAAUGGCCCUGGGAAUCUGCUGUGCUGGUACAGGAAACAAGGAAGCAAUUAAUUUACUAGAGCCAAUGACCAACGACCCUGUGAACUACGUGAGGCAAGGGGCUCUGAUAGCUUCAGCUCUCAUCAUGAUCCAACAGACUGAGAUCACGUGUCCAAAGGUGAAUCAGUUCCGGCAGCUGUAUUCCAAAGUCAUCAAUGACAAACAUGAUGAUGUCAUGGCCAAAUUUGGCGCUAUUCUGGCCCAAGGCAUACUGGAUGCAGGUGGUCAUAAUGUCACAAUCUCCUUACAGUCCAGGACUGGGCACACUCAUAUGCCAUCUGUGGUUGGCGUCCUUGUCUUCACCCAGUUCUGGUUCUGGUUUCCCCUUUCACACUUCCUGUCAUUGGCUUAUACUCCUACCUGCGUCAUUGGCCUUAACAAGGAUUUAAAGAUGCCGAAAGUUCAAUAUAAAUCAAAUUGUAAACCAUCCACAUUCGCAUAUCCUGCCCCUCUGGAAGUACCAAAAGAAAAAGAAAAGGAAAAGGUUUCCACCGCUGUGUUGUCUAUUACUGCCAAAGCUAAAAAAAAAGAAAAAGAAAAAGAAAAAAAGGAGGAGGAGAAGAUGGAAGUGGAUGAAGCAGAGAAGAAGGAAGAGAAAGAGAAGAAAAAAGAACCUGAACCAAACUUCCAGCUGUUGGAUAAUCCAGCACGAGUUAUGCCUGCCCAGCUGAAGGUCUUAAGUAUGACAGAGACCUGCAGAUACCAGCCUUUUAAACCACUCUCCAUUGAGGGCAUCAUAAUUCUGAAAGACACCAGCGAAGACAUUGAAGAACUCGUGGAACCCGUGGCAGCACACGGCCCAAAAAUUGAAGAGGAAGAGCAAGAGCCAGAGCCCCCAGAGCCGUUCGAGUAUAUCGAUGACUAAGGCCAGGGAUCCCGCCUGCCCAGCUGUAGAUGACUGUCCUGGCGCACACUGAAAUGUCGUGAGGGAACCCAUGCUGAGACCUGCUCAAUGCACACGGCAUUGCCUACGCUGACAUAAAGAACCUGUGUCCCAAGUCUUUGGUUAAGAAGAUAUACGACUGUUCAGUGUUCUCUUUCACAAAAUUUGGUUUUCAAAUAAAUAUAUUAAAAUCUCCACAUUGAAAAAAAAA